UUUAGCUGUCACUUGAGUGACUUGAUUUUUUUUGUUGGUCUUCCAAGACGUUUCUCUGCUUUCCUGAGUAGCUGCUUCAGUUUUCUUCAAAAUGUUCAGUUACUGUAAAAUUGUUGAUGUUGCUUUUACCUGGUGAUUGACAACCUUUAAUAAUGGAAGUGAAAGACUUUUAUUUUAACCUGUCUCAUGAGUAGUUCUGUAUCUUGAACAUAUUUUGCAAAAUUGAAGGUGGCACUAAUGCAAAUGGGCAAAUACACACAAUUAGCUCCAAACCCCUUGUGCUGCUCUCGUGCAGUAUGGUACACGCUGCUCGUGCUCUGUCACACGAAUCAUACACCACCAUUCUGACAGUUCAGACGCACGAGCAAAUAAAUACACACACACACAGAUGUUAAAAUACACUUAUUUAUUUAUUUUUUCAUUUCCAAGUUCAGUUUAUUUGAGAAUUAACCACUGAUUUCUUCUUGAACAUCUUGAAAAUUGUGGAUUAGAUGUGAAAGAUAUUUUGAGUUGUCUCAA